UGACGGUACCGGAAGAAUAAGCACCGGCUAACUUCGUGCCAGCAGCCGCGGUAAUACGAAGGGUGCAAGCGUUACUCGGAAUUACUGGGCGUAAAGCGUGCGUAGGUGGUUUGUUAAGUCUGAUGUGAAAGCCCUGGGCUCAACCUGGGAAUUGCAUUGGAUACUGGCAGGCUAGAGUGCGGUAGAGGAUGGCGGAAUUCCCGGUGUAGCAGUGAAAUGCGUAGAGAUCGGGAGGAACAUCUGUGGCGAAGGCGGCCAUCUGGACCAGCACUGACACUGAGGCACGAAAGCGUGGGGAGCAAACAGGAUUAGAUACCCUGGUAGUCCACGCCCUAAACGAUGCGAACUGGAUGUUGGGUGCAACUAGGCACUCAGUAUCGAAGCUAACGCGUUAAGUUCGCCGCCUGGGGAGUACGGUCGCAAGACUGAAACUCAAAGGAAUUGACGG
rnacentral:rRNA from 1 species